rfam:Gossypium hirsutum cultivar TM-1 chromosome 19, whole genome shotgun sequence
AAUAGGAAGAUGACAAAUUAGAUUUUUUUCUUCUAAUUCUCAGCUUUUUCUUCCUGAAAAUUUCAAAUACAACUGAAAAAGUUAAAAAUUAGGAGAAAAAUUUAAGUUGUCAUCUUCCUAUC